AUUGAACGCUGGCGGCAGGCUUAACACAUGCAAGUCGAGCGGGGUGAUGGUGCUUGCACUAUCACUUAGCGGCGGACGGGUGAGUAAUGCUUAGGAAUCUGCCUAUUAGUGGGGGACAACAUCUCGAAAGGGAUGCUAAUACCGCAUACGUCCUACGGGAGAAAGCAGGGGAUCACUUGUGACCUUGCGCUAAUAGAUGAGCCUAGGUCGGAUUAGCUAGUUGGUGGGGUAAAGGCCUACCAAGGCGACGAUCUGUAGCGGGUCGGAGAGGAUGAUCCGCCACACUGGGACUGAGACACGGCCCAGACUCCUACGGGAGGCAGCAGUGGGGAAUAUUGGACAAUGGGGGGAACCCUGAUGCAGCCAUGCCCCGUGUGUGAAGAAGGCCUUUUGGUUGUAAAGCACUUUAAGCGAGGAGGAGGCUACUUAGAUUAAUACUCUGGGAUAGUGGACGUUACUCGCAGAAUAAGCACCGGCUAACUCUGUGCCAGCAGCCGCCGUAA
rnacentral:rRNA from 1 species